UGCCAGGAUCUCUCUCUUCAG
rnacentral:miRNA from 12 species